rnacentral:rRNA from 1 species
UACAGAGGGGGCAAGCGUUGUUCGGAAUUACUGGGCGUAAAGGGCGCGUAGGCGGCCUUCUAAGUCGAACGUGAAAUCCCCGGGCUCAACCCGGGAACUGCGUCCGAUACUGGAAGGCUUGAAUCCGGGAGAGGGAUGUGGAAUUCCAGGUGUAGCGGUGAAAUGCGUAGAGAUCAGGAAGAACACCGGUGGCGAAAGCGCUCUGCUGGACCUUAACUGACACUGAGGGGCGAAAGCUAGGGGAGCAAAUGGG